AGUGAACGCUGGCGGUAGGCCUAACACAUGCAAGUCGAGCGGCAGCACAGUAAGAGCUUGCUCUUACGGGUGGCGAGUGGCGGACGGGUGAGGAAUACAUCGGAAUCUACUUUUUCGUGGGGGAUAACGUAGGGAAACUUACGCUAAUACCGCAUACGACCUACGGGUGAAAGCAGGGGAUCUUCGGACCUUGCGCGAUUGAAUGAGCCGAUGUCGGAUUAGCUAGUUGGGGGGGUAAAGGCCCACCAAGGCGACGAGCCGUAGCGGGUCUGAGAGGAUGAACGGCCACCUUGGGACUGAGAGGGGGCCCAGAUGGGGAAGGGUGGGAGAAGGGGGGAAGAUUGGACAAAGCCAGCCCGCGUGAGGCAGAGAGGCCGCGGGGUUGAAAAACGCUUUUGGGGGGAAAAAAAAUCGCGAGAUUGACGCCGCUUUGUUGUGACGGUACCUAAAGAAGAAGCACCGGCUAACUACGUG
rnacentral:rRNA from 1 species